rnacentral:rRNA from 1 species
CAGUCGCCGCGGUAAUACGAAGGGGGCUAGCGUUGUUCGGAUUAACUGGGCGUAAAGGGCGCGUAGGCGGGUUUUUAAGUCAGAGGUGAAAUCCCAAGGCUCAACCUUGGAACUGCCUUUGAUACUGGAAGUCUUGAGUCCGGGAGAGGUGAGUGGAACUGCGAGUGUAGAGGUGAAAUUCGUAGAUAUUCGCAAGAACACCAGUGGCGAAGGCGGCUCACUGGCCCGGUACUGACGCUGAGGCGCGAAAGCGUGGGGAGCAAACAGGAUUAGAUACCCCCGUAGUCCCUGUCUCUUAUAC